GCAGAGUAGGUUUGUGUGCGUUAAGUGCCGGCUGGACGGGGAGUUGCCAGCUGGACGAAAAGAGUAUCUUGCGGUACACAAUCCGCAUCCCGCUGC
rnacentral:ncRNA from 1 species